AUGAGCCCAGAGGAGGCAUCGCGCCAUAAGUCAAUGAGCUCUAAAGAUUUUGUGAUGUCAGUGAACCGUGCAUUGGAUUUUGGUUAUGGACCGCAUCCCAGCUCUAGUAGUGUUGACCAUUACAUGGAAAAGUUAUUUUCCGGCAUUGGACAUACUGCAGCGUCUACAAAAGAAUGCUUUGAAGUACCACCAAGAGCAAUUGGGUUGAUCUUUGAGAGAAUGGCAUUUCGGUUGUCAAUGAUGCAUUCCCAUGAUUAUGUUUCAAAAGGGCUAGCGCUAGUUGGUGAUGCUGCUCAUACAGUUCACCCCUUGGCGGGCCAAGGUGUCAAUUUGGGUUUUGGAGAUGCAGCUGCCUUAGCAAAAGUUAUUUCUGAGGGAGUUUCCAUUGGUGCAAAUAUCGGAGAUCUAUCUUUGCUAAGUUGGUAUGAGAAUGACCGGAAGACUGCCAAUGUUGCGAUGGCAGCGGUUCUAGAUGGUUUCCAGAAGAUGUACUCCGUUGAUUUCGGACCCCUGAAUGUGCUAAGAGCUGCUGCAUUCCAUGGGGCCCAGUAUAUAUCGCCGCUAAAAAGGAAUAUAAUCUUUUAUGCAAUGGGCAACAAACAAUCUCCUCUAUUCUCAUAG
rnacentral:rRNA from 1 species